rnacentral:rRNA from 1 species
AGCAGCCGCGGUAAUUCCAGCUCCAAUAGCGUAUAUUAAAGUUGUUGCAGUUAAAAGCUCGUAGUUGAAUUUCGGGACUAAUAUGUCGGUCGUGCCUCGGUACGCACUGGCUUAUUGGUUUCUCCUUUCUGAAGAACCAUGAUGUCAUUUAUUUGGUGUCGUGGGGAAUCAGGACUGUUACUUUGAAAAAUUAGAGUGUUUAAAGCAGGCUCACGCUUGAAUACAUUAGCAUGGAAUAAUGAAAUAGGACGUUUGAUUCUAUUUUGUUGGUUUCUAGGAUCGACGUAAUGAUUAAUAGGGAUAGUUGGGGGCAUUAGUAUUCAAUUGUCAGAGGUGAAAUUCUUGGAUUUAUUGAAGACUAACUACUGCGAAAGCAUUUGCCAAGGAUGUUGUCACUAAUCAAGAACGAAAGUUAGGGGAUCGAAGACGAUCAGAUACCGUCGUAGUCUUAACCAUAAACUAUGCCGACUAGGGAUCGGAUGAUGUUAAUUUUUAAUGACUCAUUCGGCGUCCG